GUGGACACUAAGCUCUGCUUAUUCCAACACUGGUCAUAAAAGGCAAGGAAGCCAGGGAGCACAAGAUGAAGAGUCCAGAAAGUACCAGUUGGGUCCAGUUUCACAAAGACAUUCAUUUCUGAGGCGUGGGCUGAGAAGAUGGUCUCCAACAACUUGCAGGCUCUGGGCAGAAGCCUGAGGAGAAUGUUCCCCAGGACUGAGGAGGGCACAAGGCUCAGAGUGAGCCCUGCAAAGGGCAGCUGACAGGCAAAUGGAUGGAACUGGAAAAUAUCAUCCUAAGCGAGGUAACACAAUCACAAAAGAAUACACAUGGAAUGCAAUCAUUGAUAAGUGGAUAUUAAUUAGCCCUGAAGCUCUGAAUCCUGAAGAUACAAUUCGCAUAUCAAAUGAUUCCCAUGAAGAAGGAAGAAGAGGGCCCUAAUCCUGGAAAGACUUGAU